UGGGGAAUAUUGCACAAUGGGGGAAACCCUGAUGCAGCGACGCCGCGUGAGCGAAGAAGGUUUUCGAAUCGUAAAGCUCUGUCCUAUGAGAAGAUAAUGACGGUAUCAUAGGAGGAAGCCCCGGCUAAAUACGUGCCAGCAGCCGCGGUAAUACGUAGGUGGCGAGCGUUAUCCGGAUUUACUGGGCGUAAAGGGCGUGUAGGCGGCUAGAUAAGUGUGAUGUUUAAAUCCAAGGCUUAACCUUGGGGUUCAUUACAAACUGUUUAGCUUGAGUGCUGGAGAGGAUAGUGGAAUUCCUAGUGUAGCGGUAAAAUGCGUAGAUAUUAGGAGGAACACCGGUGGCGAAAGCGGCUCUCUGGUCUGUAACUGACGCUGAGGCUCGAAAGCGUGGGGAGCGAACAGG
rnacentral:rRNA from 1 species